CGCUGCGGCAGCGGGCGGGCUCGCAGGACGAGCUGCGCGUGAACGGUCUGGCCUCCGCCGAGCCGACGCCAGCGCAGAUCGAGCUGCUCAAGCAGGAGAUCCUCGGCGAGAUGCGGCGCGAGAUCGGCGUCAUGAAGAGCGAGAUCAUCAACGCCAUCAAGGCGGAGCUGAGCCGCCGGUGAACGCUGCAGGCUGGAGCGCAGGCCGGCGCCGUGUCAGCGCAGGCCAGCGCAGGGUCAGCGCAGGGUCGGUGCAGGGUCAGCACAGGGUCGACGCAGACCGGUGCAGACCGGCGCAGACUGGCGCAGACCGGUGCAGGCUGGCGCAGACUGGCGCAGACCGGUGCAGGCCGGCGCAGACCGGUGCAGGCCGGUGCAGGCCGGUGCAGGGUCAGCGUAGGCCGGCGUAGGGUCGGCGCCGGCCGACCGCUGAGCAGGACGGGCGGCGGCCACCCACAGGGACGAGACAGGCUUCCGGGAAGGGGCGCAGGUCCGGCGGCGGUGCUCCGGCCGCGGCCGGCGACGGUUGGUGAUGGCUGGUGUCGGCCGGCGACGGCUGGUGCGGGCUGGUGUUCGGCAGGGCGUCGCGGAGUCAGUCGCCGGCACCAGUCUCGGCGUCCGCCGCCGGCCUAAUGUGAUACGUGUGGCGAGCUGAAGCAACCAAAGAGAUAUUCGGCUCCAGACCACGCAUGGCUGAUCACGGCUUUUGAGGCGCAGGCGGGCGCGACGCUGUCACUAUUGCGACGACUGAUUCAGAGGUAUUACACAGGGGCCAAGUGUACUGAACCAUUCGCACGAAGCUGUGCUGUUCCAAUUUCUACCAAGGUACUGUGAUUAUCUUCGGCUAUGUGUUGUGCGUAUGCGACGUACGUGCAUGAAACGCAGCAAUUGCCGACUGACGCGGAAGAUCUAAAUCGGAAAGUUAGAUGAGUUGAAUCCGGUUGUGGGCACGAACUUGUCUUGCGCUGUGCAGUGGCGUGCGCAUCUUCCCCGUGCCAUUACCACCGAGCUCCCGCGCGCUGGUGCUCGCUGCGGGACGUCAGUGAACUGAUUGGCCAGGACUGGCGGCGACGCAUCUGCCAACCGAUAAGUAUCGACAUCAGUUACGUGCCGGUGAAACGGGCUGCCAUACUGUGGUACGUGGUGCUGGGAUGGCUGCCACUGGCCGGAGAUUGCGGUGUGAUUUGUGCAGCCCUGCGAUGAUGGAUCGUCGAGUAUAUAUAUCAACAUGCUUUGCUUUUAAAUAUAUCGAACCGAAUUGUU